UACCCAUUUAUAAAUAAGUACAUUUGCUUUCAUACAUACAGUUCAUUGUACAGAUGGCGAUCUGUAUACAUGGGCAGGAAAUUGCAUUCAUUUAACUUUUCACAUCUAUCUCACACAGCUCACAUGUACAGACAAUAAAACUGCUCAAGCAAGGACAGCAAAGGAAAAUGUCUUUCCUUAUACACAGGGGGCUAGAUGCCUCUGUUGGGUGUGGGACCUCCCCACUGCACGAGUUCACAACCGUGUGGUGUUCAAUAUAUCAGGAUAGAGAACAAACAUGCAUUGGAUAAUAUACUGUACAGAGAAAGUCCUUUACAUCUGAGUUAUAGAAAACCUAAAGGAAAACUAAGUGCAUUAAAGCUUUUUCCAGCAAGUGUCUUGAAAGGACAGCAAAGAGGAGGAAGAAUCAAAAUCAUGUUAGUACAAAUCACUCUUUAAUUGUAGACUGUACAGGUCUGUACUAAUUAAAAUCAUCUUGGAUUUGGAGGAGACAGAACAGAGACAAAGAUGCUAUGCUGGAUGGAAAGGAGGCCAAGCCUGAGAAUGGCACCUGCCCUGAGCCUGACGAGGAACUGGCCCCACUCAGCAGGAAUCAGCCAGAGGAAAAAAAAAAUAGAAAUGAAAACACCUCCCCCCCCCAAAAAAAAAACCAACCCAAACUGGAACAGGAAGUGUAACUUACAGGAUUUCCAAAAUAACCCGUGAAGGAAGCAGAGAUCUGGAGCCAGCAUUUCUAAUUUUUUUUCCAGUAAGUUGGUUCACAAUAAGGCAGGUACAUUCAAGUACUGAAUUUUCCAGAAAUAACUCUGUCUGGUCCUGGGGACCAAAGGGAUUGAGUCGAGUUCCCCUAACCAGGUGUUCUGGUUAGUGAUUAGGCAAAAGAAAAAUCCAGCCAGCGAGUGCUACAGCAACAAAGCAGCUAGGCUCCUUCCUUUCCACAGAGUAGGCGUAAAAAAAAACAAGAGGGAUGUUGGUCUGCACCUGUGUGUGUCCAGCAAAAACCUGACAGGUCAGCUUAGCAGAGAUAUCACAGAGUCAGCAGGAAGAAAUGAGAUGGAACGGGUGAGGAGACAUGUAAGUUAACACUUGAUUUUUGGUGUCCAAUUACGUGUUCAUUUGGUACUGACUUUCAAAGCUCUGGCUGUGGCCAUCAGCUGGCCACAAGCAUCUCAGGGUGGUUCAGCUGCUGUGAGGCACUGGACACCGAAAUGCAGGUUCCCAACACUUCAGCCCUUGAGUGGUCUGUAUUAUAAAAGUUGAUGAAGACCCAGUGAGUAUUCAAGUACCUUUGCACAGUGGCUCCACCAGCCCCGUUGUGCUUGUGUCCAGGCCCCCAGCCAGCCACCUUGUCUUGGGAGCAGCCAGAGCGGAGUUCAAGGCAUUGCACGGUGAAGGUUUCCAUGACACGUCUUUGUAGGUAGCUCCUACCCCUAAGCCCUUUGUUCAUUGUUGUUAGUCAUGGUAGAUGGUCAGUCUGGAAUUCCUAGAGGAGAAGGAAGAGAAAGCCCUACCUCCCAGUGCGCAUGCCACCACCACAGGCCUGGCGUGGGAGCAGCGGCAGCUGCCUCUGCGGGGUGGCUUUUCAAGAAGCAGGCAGCCCAGGGACAGACAGGCGGGGUGGGGGUGGGGAGGCUGGGAUGGGGUUGGGCAAACCCUGCCCCACGGGGGUGCCUGUUCCAUUUUUGUGGCAAAGAUUCAGUGAGCAACAGGUGUUGUCCAAGGCAAUUCUGCAGUAGAAAAAUAACUUUGAAUUCUUUGAAUUGAACCAUCCAACUGUGACACCUCUGGAGUUAUACAAGUUGGAGGCCGAGAGGAACUGAGAGGGUGCUCAUGGGGAAGGGAGGGGUCUUCUACAUUCCCAUCCACCCACCGGAGAGAGCAAGGGAGAUCUGGUCAGCCUACCCCCAGUCUCUGCCUGGCUGAAGGUCCAAAGCAGGUAGUGUUCAAAGAGUGUAUCCUGCCACAACUGGCACAGAUGUGUGGAGAGCCCUUUCCAGGCCUUUGUUCCCUCCUUCCUGGGUCCUCUGAGCCUACGGGCCUGCCUCUCGGCCUGGCUGUGGCUCCCCCGAGAUGCAGCCGGUCUUUGCUACCAGACAAGCCUGGUGCAGAGCCACAGUGACACCUAGUGGUGAAGUGUGGUGAAGCAAGGUGACAUCCACAAAAAAACCCCACUGUGACUAAAAUCUAAGGAAAAUACUAAUGGAUAUUAAAUUAGAUAUGGAUUCAUUUUUCUAUUGGGUACAUCUCUGGGAUAUAAAAAUACCAAUAUUUAGAGACGGGGGUUCAUAAACUACUGUACAAUAUAAGGACCGAGAAUACCUUUCUCUAAGCUGUUCUGUUUACAGUAACUUAGGAAAGUGUUUAAUAAUCCAGGCUUAACUAAAUUAGCAAACUCAUAUCUCUGGACAACAACCUUGGGUACUGUACAUGAUUCUAAUUCGUGGAGUUUUCCUGAGCCUUCAAGUUAAACACGUCUAGAAAGAAGGGCAUGUGGGAGAGGGACGGGAAGGGUUUGUGCUCUAUUAACUUGGGACUUUUAAUAGUGCACGUCUGCAACCCGGAGAAGAUACAAGAGCAGAUACAAAAUGGUCUCCAUUUUGUCCAUGCCAAAUUCUCAUGUUACACAGGGUUUUCCCUUUACUUUGUAAAUAAACAUUAAUUUUUAAUUGUUAAUUGUGUGCCUUACUGAUCCAGUAAAUAAAGUAACCAUGUCUCAGGAGUCCCUAAGAAAAUUGCUGGAAAAGCACUUUAAAAUCACUGCAAAUAUUUUUUGUCUUUAAAAAGUCUUAAUCUUUUUGAUGCUUAUAUACAAGUUAUUUCUUGUGCUAUAAAUGUUGUGAUCCACUGCUUGCUUGCUUUCUUUUUAAUCCCUUUGAAAAACACAAUAAAAGACAAGGGAGCUUUUGCCAUUUUCUAAUGAAGACAUUACUCACACUUAAAUAUCCAGUUAGUUACUUAUCAGAGUUACAAAUUCAAACAAUAAAGUGCACCCAUUAUAGACACGAUGUGAUGGAAACCCAUUAGUGCAAGAAUUCUGGGUGAGUGGAAGGUACUAUUUGAUGAGAAACCUGUAAGCUGAAGUCUGUCACCGCUGUCUCCGUCUCAGGGUGAUGUGAAGUGGGUGAGUGGAACUUACCAGGUUGAUCUGAAAAACGUCCCCCCACCUGAAGCCAGACAUGGAUGCCAGCAAGUGAGGGGGCAUCUCUAAGAUACAGUACUAAGAUCAUCCCGUGGCAGUGAAGUAGCAAAACAGGGCACAGGCAGUCUGCUGACAAAGAAGAGCUUUGCCUCCUGCUCCAGUAAGGUCCAGCUGGCACUUUUUAGGCAAAAACAACCGGCGCCCAGUAGUGGCAUUCACGCCCUCUUACAAUGGCCACAAAAAGACUGUAUUUUGACUGUUGACAGCUUAGGUGUUUUGUCCAAAAAGGCAUGGACCCUAAACCUGUCUGCCCUAAAAAAUCCUAAGAGACAUGCUCGGGAGAAGUGGCGUCGAUGGCAUAUUUAUAAAACUACAGAACCUGCUCACCCACUCAGGCAAGAGCAGGUGGUAUGUGUGGUGCUGUGAAUAAACAGGGGCACUUUUCUAACGGACACUGAGAAAUUCUCAAGAUGCGGCAGCAGCUCCUCAGUGAGAGGUGGUUAAGAAGGGUGAGAUGCAAAGGGCCCAACAGGGCUGAGACCUGGACAGAAAAUGCUGAGAGGCUGCUGGGCUCCUGGUCGUGGGCUGAUGCCACAGCUGUGCAUUUCAUCAUCUCGGUGAGAGAGAGAGGAGAGAAGAGACACUGAUGUCCGCUCUGGGCUAGCUGAGUGGGAGACAGUCCCUAAAAAUCAGAGAGUGGACAGAGUCUGGGUCUUGGACCAGCCCUGCCGUUUACUUCCAGCACAGAGACACACACAUCCUGGCCUGUUCCAGGCUAGCGGGGGGGAGGGGUGCAUCUAUUUGGCAGAAUCUAUGUUAGUACAGAAGUGUUUCUGAUUUCAGCUUCACGGUCCCCAUGACUUAACACUUCUUUCAGAGGACACUUAGUAUUACAAACAGGUCUGGUCACAUCUGGAUUUCUGUUCAGGAAACUGCCCUUCCUGUAGCCCUUUACUAACAAGAGCAGAAUGAUUCCUGUAACAGAGAACAAAUUCCCUUUUGUUUAGUUUUAGAUGUUUAGUUUGUUAAUUUAAGAGCUGACGAACAGUUGCUACCGGGCCUGUGCUAAGGCUUUGGUUCCAGAGUUCUUGUUGCUGGCCUCAGUCACGCAAAAGGACUGGUUAGCAAAUGACCACAAGACACAGGCGAUGGGUGCAGGUUAUGGGGUCAGAAGGCUUACUGUCCAUCUCAUGCUCUCCCCCAGAGGGCUGAAAGGGGUCUUUCUUCACCCUGAAACACUUCACUGUAUCUGGAUUUUAAAUAUCACUCCUGAGAUGUCCCUGGCAUUCAAGUGGUUAAGACUCUGCACUUCCACUGCAAGGGGUGUGGGUUCGAUCCCUGGUCGGGGAAGCAAGAUGCCACG
ensembl:lncRNA